ensembl:misc_RNA Y_RNA Y RNA
GGCUGGUCCCAGUGCAGUGGUGUUUAUAACUCAUCAAUCAUAGCCAGUUACAGAUUUCUUUAUUCCUCCUUCACUCCCACUGCUUCACUUGACUGCCCUUAA